AGAUUGAACGCUGGCGGCAUGCUUUACACAUGCAAGUCGAACGGCAGCGCGGGGCAACCUGGCGGCGAGUGGCGAACGGGUGAGUAAUAUAUCGGAACGUACCCAAGAGUGGGGGAUAACGUAGCGAAAGUUACGCUAAUACCGCAUACGAUCUAAGGAUGAAAGCAGGGGACCGCAAGGCCUUGUGCUCCUGGAGCGGCCGAUAUCUGAUUAGCUAGUUGGUAGGGUAAAGGCCUACCAAGGCUACGAUCAGUAGCUGGUCUGAGAGGACGACCAGCCACACUGGAACUGAGACACGGUCCAGACUCCUACGGGAGGCAGCAGUGGGGAAUUUUGGACAAUGGGCGCAAGCCUGAUCCAGCAAUGCCGCGUGAGUGAAGAAGGCCUUCGGUGUAAAGCUCUUUUGUCAGGAAGAGACGGUGGAGCGUAAUAUCUACCCACUAAUGACGGUACCUGAAGAAUAAGCACCGCUAACUACGUGCCAGCAGACCG
rnacentral:rRNA from 1 species